rnacentral:rRNA from 1 species
AGAGUUUGAUCCUGGCUCAGAUUGAACGCUGGCGGCAGGCCUAACACAUGCAAGUCGAGCGGUAGAGAGAAGCUUGCUUCUCUUGAGAGCGGCGGACGGGUGAGUAAUGCCUAGGAAUCUGCCUGGUAGUGGGGGAUAACGUCCGGAAACGGACGCUAAUACCGCAUACGUCCUACGGGAGAAAGCAGGGGACCUUCGGGCCUUGCGCUAUCAGAUGAGCCUAGGUCGGAUUAGCUAGUUGGUGGGGUAAUGGCUCACCAAGGCGACGAUCCGUAACUGGUCUGAGAGGAUGAUCAGUCACACUGGAACUGAGACACGGUCCAGACUCCUACGGGAGGCAGCAGUGGGGAAUAUUGGACAAUGGGCGAAAGCCUGAUCCAGCCAUGCCGCGUGUGUGAAGAAGGUCUUCGGAUUGUAAAGCACUUUAAGUUGGGAGGAAGGGCAGUAAAUUAAUACUUUGCUGUUUUGACGUUACCGACAGAAUAAGCACCGGCUAACUCUGUGCCAGCAG